rnacentral:rRNA from 1 species
UAGGGAAUCUUCGGCAAUGGGGGGAACCCUGACCGAGCAACGCCGCGUGAGUGAAGAAGGUUUUCGGAUCGUAAAGCUCUGUUGUUAAGGAAGAACGAGUGUGAGAAUGGAAAGUUCAUACUGUGACGGUACUUAACCAGAAAGGGACGGCUAACUACGUGCCAGCAGCCGCGGUAAUACGUAGGUCCCGAGCGUUGUCCGGAUUUAUUGGGCGUAAAGCGGGCGCAGGCGGUUAAAAAAGUCUGAAGUGAAAGGCAGUGGCUCAACCAGAGUAGGCAUUGGAAACUGUUUUACUUAAGUGCAGAAGGGGGGAGUGGAAUUCCAUGUGUAGCGGUGAAAUUCGUAAGUAUAUGGGAGAACACCGGUUGCGGAAGCCGCUCUCUGGUCUGUAACUGACGCUGAGGCUCGAAAGCGUGGGGAGCUAACAGG